GAUGAAGAACGCAGCGAAAUGCGAUACGUAGUGUGAAUUGCAGAAUUCAGUGAAUCAUCGAAUCUUUGAACGCACAUUGCACCUCUCGGUAUUCCGGGAGGUAUGCCUGUUCGAGCGUCAUUUGUACCCUCAAGCUCUGCUUGGUGCUGGGUGUUUGUUCCGCCUCUGUGUGUGAACUCGCCUCAAAACAAUUGGCAGCCGGCGUACUUGUUUCGGAGCGCAGCACAUUUUGCGAUCCAGAUCAACGUACAGCGGCAUCCAAGAAGCCUUAUUUAACGCUCUUGACCUCGGAUCAGGUAGGGAUACCCGCUGAACUUAAGCAUAUCAUAAGCGGAGGA
rnacentral:misc_RNA from 1 species